ensembl:lncRNA
UAGGAACUCACAGUCACAGCCUCCCCAAUCAUCACCAGCACCUGAUCCCAAUUACUCCCGAUCCCAAUCGCCGAAGUACUGAUCACCUGUACCUGCACCCAGCAAUCACUCACCUGUAUAAAGCCAUCAUCACGCCAGUACUCUGGCAUCCAGUCUACCGUUCACUACUUUGAACUGUUGCCAGAUCCAUCUCUUCUAACUUUCUCUUUCUCUGCCCCCAGAUCUCUAUUGCCGUCCUCCAGCGAUUCUCCAUUGUUGUCUCCCCCUGUCUCUCAUACCAGGACACUGUGCUUCAUCUAAGACCGGACCUUGAAUACAACUUUAUGGAUCUCCAGUCACCCGCUCCUGCAGACCUUCUGCAGGAGCUGGGCAAUCUUCUCUGUGCAGCACUCACAUCUACAUCCACUCCCCAGUCUGCCUCUGCCAGUCCCAUUGUGCUGCCUGCUUCAUAUGCGGGGGAACCAGCUGGAUGUGGCGGCUUUCUAUUACAAGUCUCGUUGUACAUCGAGGUGCAACUGCAGAAAUUCUCAACCGUCCAUACGAAGGAAGUAUUCAGCUCCACUGCGGAUGAGACUGCGGUUGCGUAAGGGAGAGACAUCUACUAAUGAAUAUACCAUCCAAUUUCAGACUCUGCCGGCGGCUAGUGGAUGGAACGAGGCAGCUCUCUUUAGCACCAAGGUCUUAAUCAGGAUCAAGGUCACUAAGGAUCCAUGCUCAAAUGGCAAUCUACGAGGAUUCCAUCGGAUUAGAGAACUUCAUGUUAAAAGCUAACCGUAUUUCACAACACCUAGCCGCCUGACCAACUGCCGAAGCCACCCACCAGUCUGGCUCUCCCGCCAGUGGCCCUUCAGUACCAGGGUCCAUGCAAGUGGAUUCUACCCGACUAUCCACCAAGGAAUGUAAUCGCAGGCUCGCGGCGGGACUCUACCUUUAUUGUGCUGCACCUGAUCAUGCCAUCCAUGCCUGCCCUGUCAAGCCCCCAUAUCCUACCGUGAGUACCAUUCAACAUAACCCUGUGAUUUCCACGCUUUCCACCAUGUCAGUCCAACUACUCAGUCCUUGUUUCA